AGGCUUUUAUAAUAACAGUGGCUCCUGGAACAGAGCUAAUAUUUAUUAAGCACUUUUUGGUGCCAGACGUUGUUUUAAUUAGUAAUUGUUUAAUAUACACAACAGAACGAGUGAGGUGCUUUUACUAUACCCUUUUGACAUAUGAGGAAACUAGGAUGAAGAAAGCUUAAGAAAGUUUCCCCAAGUCCAACAAGUAGGGGCUGGGAUUUCAACCCUUGAAUCGUUGGCCUCCAAAGCCAGUACUCUUAGCCACGGUGUGAUUCUUGAAUUUUCAAGAUGCUCCCACCUCUGUGAACGAAGUAGGCCCUUUCGGCGCCUCAGGGAAGGAAGGAAGUACUAUCACCGAGAGGGCUUUAGAGCCAAGAGAACCGUUGGGAGGAUUUGUCACUUCCCAUUGUGUGCAUGAGGACUUCGAGGUUCAGGGUGAAGUGGCUCGCUCAUGGUCACGGUCACACAGCAAGCCCAUGUCAGAAACACCAACAGGUCCUGAGUCCCAGCAUGGAGAUCUCCUGUCUACACCAGCUGGAUCGCAGGCGUGCAGAUAUUCACCUGACUAUCAUGCUCCCAAGAGAGGCACGCGGUGUUUUCUGGAACGCGUGCCAGGCAAGCACUGAUGCCAAAGAGGAAGGCAUAGAAGCCCCGGAUGUUGGGAAUGGUCCACGGAGGUGAACGUUUUCAAGUAAGGAGAGGCAGCUAAGUUGCCGAGAUGUGAGCCCUUGCCUGGGAGUCAGAAGACCUGGGCUCGAAACCCUGUUCUGCUGCGUGAACUUUAGCAAGUUACUUGCUUUCUCUGAACUUGUACACUCCCUUGAGGACCCUAGAGAUGGAUCUGACCCGCCGACCCCUCAGCCGACACCGAACUCCUCGGCAAGACAGGACAAACCCCUGUGGCGUGGGUUUGCAGAGAGGACGGAGCUUGCACGUGUCGCUGAAGCAGGCCACCACGUUGGAGAGGCCCACGUGGCAGAGAACUGAAGGUGAUCUCUGGCCAACAGCCAGUUAGAAACUAAGACCCUCACUCCAACGGCCCCUGGGAACGGAAUUCUGCCCACAAUCAGGUGAGCUUGCGGAAACGUCCUUCCCCAGUCAAGGCUUCAGAUGAAACCGUAGUCUGACCAACCCCUUCACUCAACCCUGAAGCAGAAGAGCUCACUAACUGUGCCUGGAUUCCUGACCCACAGAAACUGGGCGAAGAUAGGCGUCUAUUGUUUUAAGCUGCUCGGUUUGUAGUCAUUUUUUACACAUUUGUAGAUAACUGACACGUAUAGCAAAACAAUCGAAAUGCUGGUUCUUGGAAUUUUAUUUUGUCCAAGAUAAUACAAGAGCAGGAAGGCGGACAGAAGGAAGCGUCAGGAAGACAGAAGGGAUGUUAAGCCACCAUUAUUCAGGAGUUAGGUUCCAUGUUGGUACCUCCCAAACUUUUCCUUCAAGGUAUCAUUCAUGGCAAAGGAUGCUGUUUAAAUAUCCGGACUUGUGGUUACCAAAUUUUAAUGAUCGUGAACCACAAAGAGAAAAACGUUGCGGGCACACGCACAUAUACGCACACUUCUGAACAAAUAUGUAUAAUGAACAUUAUAUUCUCUAUGCUUUUUCUUCAUUGUCGGCCUCUCCCCCGGAGCAUGUCAGCUCCAUGAGAGCAACAUAAUUGCAUUCUUGAUUAAUGCACGGUCUCCAGACUAAUGCUCUGCCCAGUAAAGGAAUAAAUGUAUCUGAAUGCACAUAUACAAAGAAUGAAGUUGUGAAAUGAUGGGAUAAAAUGAGCUGUUAUUUUUAAUGUUUUUUCUAAUUGUGAGGGUAUCAUACUAUCACUAGCUAAUAUCUCAGAGCCCACUAUCCCCUGGGCUCUGAGGGGGCGAGGUGUCAACAGUAGGGAUGUAAAUCCAAAUUUCAAAUGAUCUUUUGGUUAAUUUCAGUGGUUUUUGACCAGUGUCUUUCAGAUCUUAUUAGAUAACCAUCGUUUUGAUCUCACACUACAGCCGGUCAAAGGCCCGGGUGAGGGAAGAGGGCGUGAUGGCCCCUCCACACUCUUCCUCGCUUCUGCUGGCAUUCUCAUUAUGAACUUUAAUUGUGGUCUCUCCCUGGGAAUCGUCUUCAGCCACUUGUCCUUUUUGGGAAGUCUGAUGUAGUUAAACGACGUAAGAUCACCUGUAAAUCCAAUUAACUUGCGACACAUGGAAAAUACAACUCAAAAUGUACUGAAAGAAGAAAAAAUGAAUAAGAAAUAAGCGAUCUGGGGCACCUGGGUGGCUCAGUCGGUUAAGCAUCCGACUUCAGCUCAGGUCACGAUCUCGUGGUUUGUGGGUUCGAGCCCCACAUCAGGCUCUGGGCUGACAGCUCGGAGCCUGGAGCCUGCUUUGGAUUCUGUGUCUCCCUCUCUCUCUGCCACUCCCCUGCUCUCGCUCUGUCUCUCUCUGUCUCAAAAAUAAACAUUAAAAAAAAAAAAAGAAAGAAAGAAGCGAUCCAUUCCUCCUAGUGGUGACGUCCACUCUUCUCAGGAUCUUUUGUAGGAUUCAAAGCACAUACAACCUUUGUGACAUAGGGCAGAGUGAGAAAACCAGUGCAAUCAGCAAAUUUAAAAACUGUUAAAGCUUCAUUUAGUUCCCAAAUUUUAGAUUAAAAAAAUGUGAUUUAUUUAGGGACUCGACUCUGUUCCAAUGCUCUAUAGGUCUCUCCUUGUGCCAUUACCACACUGCCUUGAUUACCAUUGCUUUGUAGUAAGCAAGGGCGCCUGGGUGGCUCAGUUGGUUAAGUGUCCAACUUCAUCUCAGGUCAUGAUCUUGCAGUUCAUGAGUUCAAGCCCCUGCAUUGGGCUCUACAAGGCUGGUGCAGAGCCUGCUUGGGAUUCUCUCUGUCUCCCUGUUUCUCUCUCUCUCUCCCCCUUCCCAAACUUGCCCUCUUUCUCUCUAAAUAAGUAAACUUGAAAAAAAAAUGGUUAAAUAAAAUCUAGAAGCAUC